rnacentral:rRNA from 1 species
AGAGUUUGAUCCUGGCUCAGGACGAACGCUGGCGGCGUGCCUAAUACAUGCAAGUAGAACGCUGAAGAGAGGAGCUUGCUCUUCUUGGAUGAGUUGCGAACGGGUGAGUAACGCGUAGGUAACCUGCCUUGUAGCGGGGGAUAACUAUUGGAAACGAUAGCUAAUACCGCAUAACAAUGGAUGACCCAUGUCAUUUAUUUGAAAGGGGCAAAUGCUCCACUACAAGAUGGACCUGCGUUGUAUUAGCUAGUAGGUGAGGUAACGGCUCACCUAGGCGACGAUACAUAGCCGACCUGAGAGGGUGAUCGGCCACACUGGGACUGAGACACGGCCCAGACUCCUACGGGAGGCAGCAGUAGGGAAUCUUCGGCAAUGGGGGCAACCCUGACCGAGCAACGCCGCGUGAGUGAAGAAGGUUUUCGGAUCGUAAAGCUCUGUUGUAAGUCAAGAACGAGUGUGAGAGUGGAAAGUUCACACUGUGACGGUAGCUUACCAGAAAGGGACGGCUAACUACGUGCCAGCAGCCGCGGUAAUACGUAGGUCCCGAGCGUUGUCCGGAUUUAUUGGGCGUAAAGCGAGCGCAGGCGGUUUGAUAAGUCUGAAGUUAAAGGCUGUGGCUCAACCAUAGUUCGCUUUGGAAACUGUCAAACUUGAGUGCAGAAGGGGAGAGUGGAAUUCCAUGUGUAGCGGUGAAAUGCGUAGAUAUAUGGAGGAACACCGGUGGCGAAAGCGGCUCUCUGGUCUGUAACUGACGCUGAGGCUCGAAAGCGUGGGGAGCGAACAGGAUUAGAUACCCUGGUAGUCCACGCCGUAAACGAUGAGUGCUAGGUGUUGGAUCCUUUCCGGGAUUCAGUGCCGCAGCUAACGCAUUAAGCACUCCGCCUGGGGAGUACGACCGCAAGGUUGAAACUCAAAGGAAUUGACGGGGGCCCGCACAAGCGGUGGAGCAUGUGGUUUAAUUCGAAGCAACGCGAAGAACCUUACCAGGUCUUGACAUCCCGAUGCUAUUUCUAGAGAUAGAAAGUUACUUCGGUACAUCGGUGACAGGUGGUGCAUGGUUGUCGUCAGCUCGUGUCGUGAGAUGUUGGGUUAAGUCCCGCAACGAGCGCAACCCCUAUUGUUAGUUGCCAUCAUUCAGUUGGGCACUCUAGCGAGACUGCCGGUAAUAAACCGGAGGAAGGUGGGGAUGACGUCAAAUCAUCAUGCCCCUUAUGACCUGGGCUACACACGUGCUACAAUGGUUGGUACAACGAGUUGCGAGUCGGUGACGGCAAGCUAAUCUCUUAAAGCCAAUCUCAGUUCGGAUUGUAGGCUGCAACUCGCCUACAUGAAGUCGGAAUCGCUAGUAAUCGCGGAUCAGCACGCCGCGGUGAAUACGUUCCCGGGCCUUGUACACACCGCCCGUCACACCACGAGAGUUUGUAACACCCGAAGUCGGUGAGGUAACCAUUUGGAGCCAGCCGCCUAAGGUGGGAUAGAUGAUUGGGGUGAAGUCGUAACAAGGUA